GAUGAACGCUGGCGGCGUGCCUAAUACAUGCAAGUCGAGCGAACAGACGAGGAGCUUGCUCCUCUGACGUUAGCGGCGGACGGGUGAGUAACACGUGGAUAACCUACCUAUAAGACUGGGAUAACUUCGGGAAACCGGAGCUAAUACCGGAUAAUAUAUUGAACCGCAUGGUUCAAUAGUGAAAGACGGUUUUGCUGUCACUUAUAGAUGGAUCCGCGCCUCAUUAGCUAGUUGGUAAGGUAACGGCUUACCAAGGCAACGAUGCGUAGCCGACCUGAGAGGGUGAUCGGCCACACUGGAACUGAGACACGGUCCAGACUCCUACGGGAGGCAGCAGUAGGGAAUCUUCCGCAAUGGGCGAAAGCUUGACGGAGCAACGCCGCGUGAGUGAUGAAGGUCUUCGGAUCGUAAAACUCUGUUAUUAGGGAAGAACAAAUGUGUAAGUAACUAUGCACGUCUUGACGGUACCUAAUCAGAAAGCCACGGCUAACUACGUG
rnacentral:rRNA from 1 species